rnacentral:lncRNA from 1 species
GGAGUGCAGUGGCAUGAUCUUUGCUCACUGCAACCUCCAUCACCUGGGCUCAAGGAAUUCUCCUGCCUCAGCCUCCCUAGUAGCUAGGAUUACAGGCGUGUGCCACCAUGCCUGGCUAAUUUUGUUUUUUUUUUUUUUGUAUUUUUAGUGGAGACGGGGUUUCACCAUGUUGGCUGGGCUGGUCUCGAACUCCUGACCUCAGGUAAUCCGCCCGCCUCGGCCUCCCAAAGUGCUUGGAUUACGUGCAUGAGCCACCGUGACCAGCUGACCAUCUCUCAUUAUUAAUAAGAACAUCACAGACAGGAUUCCACAUAUUUAUAAAAUUUCAUGUUAUCUCAAAGGUUUUUGUGUGAAACACGUGUCUUUGUUUCUUCUGGAUAAAUGCUCAAGACAGCAAUUGGAUACUUAGAACGUGUAAAAUUCCUAUGCUUCCUUGAUUCUAACCCACCACCCUCAAAGCUAAAUGCUUUAUUCGGUGAUGAUGAAUAUUUUGGUUCAGCUAUGCAACCACACUGAGUAAAACUGGGGGAACAAAGAAGUAGAAUCCUGCUCUUUUGUGUCAAACAUGGCACAUAACCAGCACACUCCAGGUACUGAAAGGGAAUCCUGACUUAAGACAUUGGCAUCAUCAAGUCUAAGUAAACAUAUCUUAAUAUGAGAUAUUGAAGCCUGUUCCUCUAUCAGCCAGCUGACUUUUUCAGAAAAAAAGUAUUCCUGACAUUUAUUCUUUUCUUAAAUCCUCUAUCCUCUUGGACCCUGAAGACAUCGUCAGCAUUUGGAUUUUAUUCAUGACAGAUACAUGUCUCUUUAAAAAGUGUGGAUUUAUCUCCUGAAUAUUAGUUUCUCAAUGAUUUAUCCACCACAUUUUCAUAACUUGUGUGAGGGAUCAGUACCACCUUCCAGCGGUAGAUCUUAUUUUUGCCGCUCAAUUUUUGCUCUGUUCUCUUUCUAGUAAGGGCUUUAUCCUGAAUCAUUUAUUGACAUGCGGCCUAUAGAGACCUCCUUAAAGAGGUACUACAUUAUUGUCCCAUUGAUUUAGGGCCUGGCCACAUUUCAAGCUUUAGCCAAUGGAAUGUGAGGGAAUAUAGCGUAUAGAAACAUCUGAGAAGAAAAAGAAAAACUUCAGAAGGCAUCAAGUGUUUCUGACAGGUCUGUCUUGCUAGAUGUCCCAAAUAAGGACCACUUCUUGAAGAGGCUGGAAUCUGGUGUGAGAAGACAAGGGGAACAGAGCCACAGAAGUUGAUCCACAGCCAUGGAUAUCUGUCUGGAACAAUAAAUCAAUGUCAGUUGUAGCCACUGUCAUUUGGGGGGUUGUUUGUUAUUAAUAAAGCCAACUAAUAAAAUUCAUAACUAGAUUAGAAAACAAUCAAGAUGAAACAUUUUAACAAAAAAUUUGAAUUGCAAAUUUGAAUGCAUCUUAAAUGACGUCGAGUAAAAAAGUUUGCCGCUUGAACAGAAAUAAAAAUUUUAAAUUUAUUAAAAUUCACAUUAAUAAAAAAUAAGAAUACUCUGCA